UCGUCAGUAUGUUUGGACGGAUGACAGUCCUUUUGGUUACACCUAUUGGGCUGGUGGCCAGCCUGACUUCUAUAUGCUGAGAGAGUACUGCAUUGAGAUGGUCUAUGUGGACGGGGGGCGCUGGAACGAUGUGAGCUGUGAGGAGAAUAGGCCCUGGGUGUGUGCAGUGAAGGUCUAGAGGUCCAGAGAGGACCUGAAGACCAGCAGUUGGACCGGUCUGCUUCAACUGGAACCACUGCAAGCUUUUACAUUUACUGCAAUAAAUAUUCAGCAUCAGAAAACA